GGAUGAGCCCAGCGCCGAAUCCCCGGCUUAACUGUCGUGGGAAAUGUGGCGUGAGGGAGUGAGCGUGCCGGGUUCGCCCACGGACGGCAAGUCCCCCUGACCGGGGCCUAUCCAGAGCGGGUGCGAGACCCAUAGCCGUCCGGAGCGUCUCGGAAUGCGAUCUCCUAGGAGUCGGGUUGCUUGAGAGUGCAGCCCUAAGCGGGUGGUAAACUCCACCUAAGGCUAAAUACCGCCGUGAGACCGAUAGCAAACAAGUACCGUGAGGGAAAGUUGCAAAGAACUUUGAAGAGAGAGUUCAAGAGUACGUGAAACUGCUCAGAGGUAAACAGGUGGGCCCUCGAAAUCCUGUGGCGAGAGGAUUCAGUCUGGCGCCCUGGAGGCGCGUGGUCGGACCAAUGAGGCUUCCCGGAGAUCGGGGCCGUCCGAUCGCGCCGUUUCGGGCGCGGCCGACGCAUUUGACUCUCGCCCGAAGGACGCAGCAACCGGUCGGGCCGCAGAAAGCACGACGGCCUGAAGGGCGAAGACAGGCAGGUGGCCGGAGGAGCACGCCCCACGUGUGUUCCCUCGGUUGUUAGCCGCUUCGUCGGUGGCUCGUCGCCCGACCGUGGUGUCGCAAUGCCCCCCUGCGGGGCUUCUCCGCCUCCUCCGCAAUCGGAAGAGGGACUGACCGCCGAUGGCAUGGCAGACCGUUCGGCAGCACCCACCAGGGUGUCCCGUUCGGUGCCGCGACGUCGCACGCGGCGGCGGACCCUUCGGAGGUCGGAGGCUAGCUGCGAGUAGGUCGGUCACCCACCUGACCCGUCUUGAAACACGGACCAAGGAGUCUAACAUGUGCGCGAGUCAGUGGGUCUUGAACAGGCCCAGAGGCGCAAUGAAAGCAAAGGCCCGCGUCACGCGGGCCGAGUCGGGAUCCUUCCCCGACCAGGGGCGAGGCGCACCGACGACCCGUCCCGUCCGGCUCGCCGGUGGGGCGGAGUACGAGCGCACACGUUGGGACCCGAAAGAUGGUGACCUAUGCCCGGACAGGACGAGGCCAGAGGAAACUCUGGUGGAGGUCCGCAGCGGUUCUGACGUGCAAAUCGAUCGUCA
rnacentral:rRNA from 1 species